CACUAAGCGGAGGAAAAGAAACUAACCAGGAUUCCCCUAGUAACGGCGAGUGAAGAGGGAAAAGCCCAGCACCGAAGCCUGCGGCAGUUUUGCUGUUAGGCAAUGUGGUGUUUGGGUCGGCUCGUGGGAUUGCCACUCCACUCCAAGUCCAGCAUUGAGUAUGGUUUACUGGAUUUGGCCCAGAGAGGGUGAAAGGCCCGUAGGGGUGGAGUAUCAGAAAUGUAAGGCAGUUCACCAGGUCGACCUUAGAGUCGGGUUGUUUGGGAAUGCAGCCCAAAGCGGGUGGUAAACUCCAUCCAAGGCUAAAUACAAGCACGAGUCCGAUAGCGAACAAGUACCGUGAGGGAAAGUUGAAAAGUACUCUGAAGAGAGAGUAAACAGUACGUGAAACCGCAUGCAGGUAAACGGGUGGCGUCAAGCUGCAGGCCCAGAGGAUUCAGUCGACUAGGUUGUAGUGUAUGUGCCUGGCGCAUCCAUCAGUCAGAGUGUGAUUGAGUAGUCCAUGGGUAAACCGUGGGCCUGGCCGCAAGGUCGGGAUGUGUGUACCGGAUGGGUGCCGGAGCAUGCUACUCGUCUGUGGACUGUCUAGUCGGUGCACUUUCUCUGUGGUCAACACCACGACCGGUGGUAUUGCCAGUCUGCUGUGCUCAAGUUGUGCUCGGUUGGUCCUUGUGGCUAGCUGGGUGCGAUCACAGGCAAAUUCAGUGAACGGCGCGGGGGUGCUUCGGUAUCUUCGCGUGUUAUCGGCCACUGGUUGUCAACAGGCCUGCCCGGUGUUUGUUGUAACCGGCAUUGGGUGGUCUGGUGGAGCAUGGUGGUAAGAAUAACUGUGCAAGGCACCGGAGUUGUCGGCCUCAAAUGCGUCCCGCACACACGUUACAAGUGGUGAUUAGUGGCGGUGUCGUGGCCAUCUGCCUGGUGUUGGGUGUGAUUGGCGUGUUGCCCGCGAAAAGCGGGCCCGCCAGUGGCUCGAUUCAGGAUGGGUGGUUUGCGGCGCUGUCGGUG
rnacentral:rRNA from 1 species